rnacentral:rRNA from 1 species
AUUGAACGCUGGCGGCAGGCCUAACACAUGCAAGUCGAGCGGUAGAGAGGUGCUUGCAUCUCUUGAGAGCGGCGGACGGGUGAGUAAUGCCUAGGAAUCUGCCUAGUGGUGGGGGGAUAGCGUUCGGAAACGGACGCUAAUACCGCAUACGUCCUACGGGAGAAAGCGGGGGGAUCUUCGGACCUCGCGCCAUUAGAUGAGCCUAGGUCGGAUUAGCUAGUUGGUGAGGUAAUGGCUCACCAAGGCGACGAUCCGUAACUGGUCUGAGAGGAUGAUCAGUCACACUGGAACUGAGACACGGUCCAGACUCCUACGGGAGGCAGCAGUGGGGAAUAUUGGACAA